UACGUAGGUGGCAAGCGUUAUCCGGAAUUAUUGGGCGUAAAGCGCGCGCAGGUGGUUUCUUAAGUCUGAUGUGAAAGCCCACGGCUCAACCGUGGAGGGUCAUUGGAAACUGGGAGACUUGAGUGCAGAAGAGGAAAGUGGAAUUCCAUGUGUAGCGGUGAAAUGCGUAGAGAUAUGGAGGAACACCAGUGGCGAAGGCGACUUUCUGGUCUGUAACUGACACUGAGGCGCGAAAGCCAGGGGAGCGAACGGG
rnacentral:rRNA from 1 species